rnacentral:rRNA from 1 species
AGUGAACGCUGGCGGCAGGCCUAACACAUGCAAGUCGAGCGGCAGCGCGGGGCAACCCUGGCGGCGAGCGGCGGACGGGUGAGGAAUACAUCGGAAUCUACCCAGUCGUGGGGGAUAACGUAGGGAAACUUACGCUAAUACCGCAUACGACCUGAGGGUGAAAGCAGGGGACCGCAAGGCCUUGCGCGAUUGGAUGAGCCGAUGUCCGAUUAGCUAGUUGGUGAGGUAAAGGCUCACCAAGGCGACGAUCGGUAGCUGGUCUGAGAGGAUGAUCAGCCACACUGGAACUGAGACACGGUCCAGACUCCUUCGGGAGGCAGCAGUGGGGAAUAUUGGACAAUGGGCGCAAGCCUGAUCCAGCCAUGCCGCGUGUGUGAAGAAGGCCUCGGGUUGUAAAGCACUUUUGUCCGGAAUGAAAUCCUGUCGGUUAAUACCUGGCGGGGAUGACGGUACCGGAAGAAUAAGCACCGGCUAACUUCGUGCCAGCAGCCGCGGUAAUACGAAGGGUGCAAGCGUUAUUCGGAAUUACUGGGCGUAAAGCGUGCGUAGGCGGUUCGUUAAGUCAGAUGUGAAAGCCCCGGCGUCAACCUGGGAAUUGCAUUUGAUACUGGCGGGCUAGAGUACGGUAGAGGGUGGUGGAAUUCCCCGGUGUAGCAGUGAAAUGCGUAGAGAUCGGGAGGAACAUCUGUGGCGAAGGCGGCCCACCU